CCCUUUUGCUGGCAGUAAUAGUAAUCCCAAUUAGGGAUGCUUUAUAAGUAUUAAAGGAGAAUAUGAUAAUGAGGGGAAAAGUUAAAGGGAGCUUCUGACGGUGGUAUUCCAAAGGCCAUUGAAUCGAUUACAAAGCUUUUCAACCUUGUUUUCUCGAGAUUCAAGGCAAACUAAAUGUCCUCCAAUUCGCAGUUUUCAGACGAAGCAACAGUACGCCCAACAAUCGCAAACUUUAAUUGUAGUUAAUUUUCAUUCAAGAUUUGAAGCUUCCAGACACGAAUUUGCAAGGCGGAGGUUUAUUGGAAGCUUGAAUUUGGUUGCGAAAUGAAGGUUUAUUGGAAGCUUGCCUAACUUUUUGUAGGGGAAUUUCCCCUUAGGUAUUGAAUCUUAUGUGGAAAUUGUGUGAUUGAAAACCAUGUACGCGAGGUGAUGAGUAUGUACGUGGUUUAUAUGUGCAAAUUAUAUUGGUUAAAAUUCGUAGACGCCCGUAUGUAUUUAAUUGAAAAUGGUUGACACUUAGUAAAUCCUUGAUUGUCAUGCUUCAUUCUUUGUUUGUCGAUUUUGUAUUUAUAUGAUAAUUUGGUGUGAUUGUCGCUUGGAUAUUUAUGUGAAUUCCAUGUGUUUGUUGA